rnacentral:rRNA from 1 species
UACGAAGGGUGCAAGCGUUAAUCGGAAUUACUGGGCGUAAAGCGUGCGUAGGCGGUUCGUCGCGUCGGCUGUGAAAUCCCGGAGCUCAACUCCGGGUCUGCAGUCGAUACGGGCGGACUUGAGUAUUGCAGGGGAGACUGGAAUUCCUGGUGUAGCGGUGAAAUGCGCAGAUAUCAGGAGGAACACCGGUGGCGAAGGCGGCCUGCUGGGCAGUAGCUGACGCUGAGGCGCGACAGCGUGGGGAGCAAACAGG